GAAUACCUUUGGUAUUUGUAGUGAAAAUCCUUUUUGCCAAUUAAAAAAAGUAAUUGCUUCCAAUUAAGAGAUUGCCACAGAAAAUUAGAAAUUUUCUUCGCAAUGACGCAAAAAGAUUGAAACGUAAAGCCCGACCCUUG
rnacentral:sRNA from 1 species